rnacentral:rRNA from 1 species
UACGUAGGUGGCAAGCGUUGUCCGGAAUUAUUGGGCGUAAAGCGCGCGCAGGCGGGAUGGUAAGUCUAACUUAAAAGUGCGGGGCUCAACCCCGUGAGGGGUUAGAAACUACCAUUCUUGAGUACAGGAGAGGAAAGUGGAAUUCCCAGUGUAGCGGUGAAAUGCGUAGAUAUUGGGAGGAACACCAGUGGCGAAGGCGACUUUCUGGACUGUGUCUGACGCUGAGGCGCGAAAGCCAGGGGAGUGAACGGG